rnacentral:rRNA from 1 species
UACGGGGGGUGCAAGCGUUGCUCGGAAUCACUGGGCGUAAAGCGUCCGCAGGCGGCUUGAUAAGUCGGGUGUGAAAGCCCGGGGCUCAACCCCGGAACUGCAUUCGAAACUGUCUCGCUUGAGUACGGGAGAGGGUCGUGGAAUUCCUGGUGUAGAGGUGAAAUUCGUAGAUAUCAGGAGGAACACCGGUGGCGAAAGCGGCGACCUGGCCCGAUACUGACGCUCAUGGACGAAAGCGUGGGGAGCAAACAGG